rnacentral:rRNA from 1 species
UACGUAGGGUGCAAGCGUUGUCCGGAAUUAUUGGGCGUAAAGAGCUCGUAGGCGGUUUGUCGCGUCUGCUGUGAAAACUCGGGGCUUAACCCCGGGCCUGCAGUGGAUACGGGCAGACUAGAGGUAGGUAGGGGAGAAUGGAAUUCCUGGUGUAGCGGUGAAAUGCGCAGAUAUCAGGAGGAACACCGAUGGCGAAGGCAGGUCUCUGGGCCAUAACUGACGCUGAGAAGCGAAAGCAUGGGGAGCGAACAGG